CGUGAGACAGUUCGGUCCCUAUCCGUCGUUGGCGUAGGAAAAUUGAGGAGAGCUGAUCCUAGUACGAGAGGACCGGAUUGGACAUACCUCUGGUGUAUCUGUUGUAACGCCAGUUGCAUCGCAGAGUAGCUAUGUAUGGACGGGAUAACUGCUGAAAGCAUCUAAGCAGGAAGCCUCCUCCAAGAUGAAUUUUCCCAUUCUUCGUGAAGUAAGAUUCCUUGUAGACUACAAGGUUGAUAGGCUGGGUGUGGAAGCGUAGUGAUACGUUGAGCUGACCAGUACUAAUAGAUCGAGGAUUUAACUUA
rnacentral:ncRNA from 1 species